rnacentral:lncRNA from 1 species
CUCAAAGGCUUUUGUAUAGAAAUUUCUGUCAUUAAUAUCGAUCUUGCGUGAUGCAUUGGAUAUGUUUUUCUUCUUUUUCUCACCAAUCUUAAAAUGCUAGCAAAUUAUAAUAUACAAAAAGCUUCAAUAUCCAAAUUCUUAAUACAUAUUAAGCAAUGAGCUUCAAAGAUAGGCGAACAUAUUCAUAUUGACAUUGUUAAUAUUUGUUGCACAUUAAACAAUAAUUUUUAACCAAUAUCGAGCC